CCAGACUCCUACGGGAGGCAGCAGUGAGGAAUAUUGGUCAAUGGCCGAGAGGCUGAACCAGCCAAGUCGCGUGAGGGAAGACGGCCCUACGGGUUGUAAACCUCUUUUGCCGGGGAGCAAGGGCGGGGACGUGUCCCGGCCCGGAGAGUACCCGGAGAAAAAGCAUCGGCUAACUCCGUGCCAGCAGCCGCGGUAAUACGGAGGAUGCGAGCGUUAUCCGGAUUUAUUGGGUUUAAAGGGUGCGCAGGCGGCGAGUUAAGUCAGCGGUAAAAUUGCGGGGCUCAACCCCGUCGAGCCGUUGAAACUGGCAGACUUGAGUUGGCGAGAAGUACGCGGAAUGCGCGGUGUAGCGGUGAAAUGCAUAGAUAUCGCGCAGAACUCCGAUUGCGAAGGCAGCGUACCGGCGCCACACUGACGCUGAGGCACGAAAGCGUGGGGAUCGAACAGGAUUAGAUACCCUCGUAU
rnacentral:rRNA from 1 species